rnacentral:rRNA from 1 species
UUGUGCUAAGGUAGCAUAAUCAUUUGUCUUUUAAUUGAAGACUAGAACAAAAGAUUUAACAAUCCAAUUAAUGUAUAAAAUUAAUUAUAUUAAUUUAUUUUAAAUGUAAAAAAACAUUUAUAAUAUAGAAAGACGACAAGACCCUAUUAAACUUAACUAUAGUUAAACUGGGGCAGUUAAUAAAAUAUUAUUUUAAUAAAAAUAAAAUAAAAAAAGAUCCAAUAAAACUGAAUAGAUGAUCAAGUUACUAUAGGGAUAACAGCGUAAUAUUUAUCUAAAGAUCUUAUUUAAAUAAAAGAUUACGACCUCGAUGUUGAAUUAAUAACCUAAAUUAUUGCAGCAAAUAAACAAAGGAAGU